rnacentral:rRNA from 1 species
GAUGAACGCUGGCGGCGUGCUUAACACAUGCAAGUCGAACGGAAAGGCUCCUGCUUGCAGGGGUACUCGAGUGGCGAACGGGUGAGUAACACGUGGGUGAUCUGCCCUGCACUUCGGGAUAAGCCUGGGAAACUGGGUCUAAUACCGGAUAGGACGAUGGUUUGGAUGCCAUUGUGGAAAGUUUUUUCGGUGUGGGAUGAGCUCGCGGCCUAUCAGCUUGUUGGUGGGGCAUUGGCCUACCAAGGCGUCGACGGGUAGCCGGCCUGAGAGGGUGUACGGCCACAUUGGGACUGAGAUACGGCCCAGACUCCUACGGGAGGCAGCAGUGGGGAAUAUUGCACAAUGGGCGCAAGCCUGAUGCAGCGACGCCGCGUGGGGGAUGACGGCCUUCGGGUUGUAAACUCCUUUCGCUAGGGACGAAGCGCAAGUGACGGUACCUGGAGAAGAAGCACCGGCUAACUACGUG